rnacentral:rRNA from 1 species
UACGGGGGGGGCAAGCGUUGUUCGGAAUUACUGGGCGUAAAGGGCUCGUAGGUGGCCAACUAAGUCAGACGUGAAAUCCCUCAGCUUAACUGGGGAACUGCGUCUGAUACUGGAUGGCUUGAGUUUGGGAGAGGGAUGCGGAAUUCCAGGUGUAGCGGUGAAAUGCGUAGAUAUCAGUCGGAACACCGGUGGCGAAGGCGGCUUCUUGGGCCGUUCCUGACGCUGAUGCGCGAAAGCUGGGGGAGCGAACGGG